UCAACCAUCAAGCCCCGGGCAUCUCACCCUGCCCGACAUCGAGCCAUGCUUGGUAUAAAGAUAUGCUAGUCAUCGGGCCUCGCCCUAAGAGAUGUUGAAACGUCCAAAAAAUUAAGACUAAAAUAUUCGUUUUUAAAUUAAUGAAACUAUUAUCCAAAACUUCAUCAUAAAGAAAUCAUGGUGGAACAAAUGUAUCAAAAACAUCACAAAACAUCAAAGUAACAUAAAAUGCAGAACGAGGUGGUGUGUGCACUACAAUCAUCUCAGGAUCUUCCCCUUUGAACUAGAAGCACCUGAAAACAAAACUGAAUACCGUAAGCACAAAGCUUAGUGAGUUCCCCAGAAUACCACAUACCAUACAUACCAAACAUAUAAUGGGCUCCGCUCGCCAUCGGGCCUUGCCCGACAUCGACCCUCACUCGGUAUACAAAUAUUUCAAUCAUUGGGGCCUACUCGGUAUACAAAUCUAUCAGUCAUCGGGCCCAACCCGGUACACAUAUAAAAUAUAAGAAUAUAAACACAUAACACAUGCAAUAAUCAAAAAGAUAAAUAGCAUACAAAAUGGUCAUUGGGCCCCGCCCAACAUCGGGCUUUGCCUAGUAAACAUGCAAACACAUAACAUAUGCAAGAGUCACAUAGACAUCUAGCAUCCUAAACAUAACAAACCAUGGGCUGGAAUUGGUGCCUUCGAUCGGCUGACAUAGUGAGGAAACUCACCUCUAGCUGCUGAAACACUCAAAUAAAUCUUUGUUUGCUGGUCUGGAAAAUCCUUACGCUAUCAUAUAACAUGUAUGUGUAUUUUGGGAAAACUUACUUGAGCUCGGUCGAUUGCAUGCACCACACCCUUGUCUUUUGUUAGAAACCUUUAUUAUAAAACAUUUAUUUUUGAAAAAUUCUACCAAACCCUCAAUUUGAGUUUAGAGACACUCGAGAGUAUGUCCGAGCCCCUCAAACCAAGGCUCUUAUACCAAUUUCAAAUGUCCCAAAAAUUAAGACAAAAAAUUUCGUUUUUAAAUUUAUAAAAUAUUAUCCAAAAAAAUCAUCAUAAAGAAAUAAUUGUGGAACAAGUGUAUCAACAACAUCACAAAACAUUAAAGUAACAAAAAAUGCGGAACGAGGUGGUGUGUGCACUUCAGUCAUCCCGAUCUCUUCCCCUUCGAACCAUAAAUACCUGAAAACAAAGCUGAAAAUCGUAAGCACAAUGCUUAGUGGGUUCCCCAGAAUACCACAUACCAUACAUAUCAAACAUAUAAAUGGCCCCGCUCGUCAUCAGGCCCUGCUCGAUAUACAGAUCUAUCAGCCAUUGGGCCUCGGGCAUCUCGCCCUACCUGAUAUCGAGCCCCGCUCGGUAUACAGAUAUGGCAAUCAUCGGGCCCCGCCCGAUAUACAUAUAAAAAUAUAAGCAUAUAAACACAUAACACAUGCAAUAAUCAUAAAGAUAAAUAACAUGCAUGAUGGUUAUCGGGCCCCACCCGACAUCGGGCUCUGAUCGGUUAACAGGCAAACACAUAACAUAUGCAAGAGUCAUGCAAACAUCUAGCAUCCUAAACAUAACAAACCAUGGGCCGACAUUAGAGCCAUCGACCCGCUAACACAAUGAGGAAACUCAUAUCUAGUUGUUGAAACACUCAAAUGAAUCUCUGUCUGCUGGUCCGGAAAAUCCCCGCGCUAUCAUCACAAAACAAUAUCCAAUUAAUAGUUGGAUCUUGACCCCUAAUCAAGAAUCUAAACUAAAUGUCUAAUACAUAGGGUAAAAGACCAUUUCACCCUUUUUUUCUUACUUGGACCAAAACUAAGGCCCAACCCAUCUAUUCAAAAAGGCCCCAAUCCUAAGUGGCAACCCAAAGCCUAAUAUUGCCCAAUCUUCCAAAUUGGACCCAAAACCCAUCACGGGACUAAAUCCAUGAGAGCCCAAUAUAGUAACAAAACCCAAAAAUAGAAUUCUAAUGGCCCAAAAAGGCCCAAAGUCAAUGGUCCAAACUCCAACAGUUGGUCCUUACGUCGUGACCAGCUCAUGCUCACGUCGUGAGCACUAACUCGACCCAGUCCCAACUCAGUGGGUCAAUUCAGCCCUUCAAGACGAUUCCAAUCCUUGUCACAUAGCAACCUCAACCUAAGUCACACCGUGACCUAAUCCGGACAAAAUAGUUAGGAUAGCUAGUAUUCUCACGACGCGACAGGCUUAAUCAUCACGUUGUGAGAUCUACACUGACCAGCUUUGAGCAUUAAGCUCUUAUUCCUUAUAGCCAUAACCUGGGAAUUUCCAUAGGGUCUUUCCCUUUCCUAAAGGAUGAUAAAAACCAUAGCUUUUUAGUCAUGCAUGUCCAAUACAUGAAUCAAACUCUUACUAGGCCAAGAGUGGGAAAAUGCGAUCAAGACUCAUGCUUGGAGUCUCAAACUAUACCAAAACUCAGAUCUAAAGACUAUAUCAUAGAGAAUAACACAAUGAUCCAUAAAGUUUUCAACUUUAUGGAUCCUUAGGAUGCAAUCCAACACAAACAUGCAAAAAGGAGCUUAGAACUUAGAUCUAGCAUGCAAAAGGUAGACAUGUCCAAGCUUUAAGACUUACAAUGGUCCUAAAGCUCCAACGAUUUGUAAAUAUGUGCUAACCGAUUUAUAUACAAAGUUUUGAUUUGUGAUCAUUUUAUGCAUGAAAUUACUUUGACACAUAUUUUAUUUCCCUUUAUGGACGAGACUUCACUUUUUCUGUUAAAUGUUUAAUGUAUUGCGAGGUUAUUACCAUGAUUUUAAAGAAGAUACAACAUGAAAACACAAUUCUUUUUAGGAGAAGUAGUUCCAUAAACUUUGAACAUGGAUCAUGAUUGGUUUAAAUCUCUCAAGCUUGUAGCAUGAUGUACCGGCUUAAUCAAAUUCAACAAAACAAAGUGAUAUUCAAUAAUAAUCAAAUACAAACAAAAGAUAAAUAAGUUAAUAAGCCUACCCAACUUGUUCAAAUUAAUAUGUCAUAUAGUUAACUACAAACAACGAUAGAUUCAAAAUAAUUUCAAAUUUUCUAAAAACAAAACUCAUGAUUUCAAACAAACUUCUAAUGCAUCAUCUUUAUCAAAAGGCACUUUCACUGUUUCUCAAAUCGAAAUUCAUUAUUUUCAUUAUUCUCUUUUUUUCACCUUUUACGAUCGAAAAUUUUUCAAUCGAGAACUUGAGGUGAGAGAUCUUGUUAUUUUUUGAGUUCUCCUUUCUCCUCCCAGCAAUUUGUCGUUGGUUGUGACUUUUCUACAGGGAGAAGAUGAGUAUCUAUUGUGGAUUGAAGUGGUUUUUGUACAAAUGGGGAAUCACUUCUUACGUUUCCAAGGGAAAUAGUUCAUAACAACUGUUUGGAACACAAAAAGAUAAUUCAAGUUCCGGACUAAAAUACCAGAUAUGGUUGUUCCACAUGAAAAACGCGUUUGGAUUGUAACAGCUCAAGCUACUAGACGGAGUAGUAAACUUAUGCUACCUAGAACAAAUUGUAUGAUCAAUUCUUUCGGUUUUCAUGGGGUUAUUUCUAGUAACAGUUUUUUAUGCAUAAAAAUAGUUAUUUUCAUCGGUCUUAUUCAAUUUCAUAUAGUAUAUGUAUAUGUAUAGUCAUAAUUCACCACAUUUGAAACUAUCUUAGGGUCUUAAAAAGUCGUUACACAACUUUCAUUUUUGUACAUAUAUCUCUAAGUGUCCUCGAGUAUUAUCCCGUAUGGGAUUUUGUGAUUGUCAGGUAUAGGGUUAAAAUAUAAAUAUAGAAAGUUAACCUACACAAACCUCAAGAUAUAUAGACAUUUAGUUGAUUAUUUUUUCAUUCUAAUUUUGUACCUUAUUUCCAAGAAUCAUCAACAAUUUUGAUUGAUGGAUGACGCACAUGCCUAGGAUUGUUUUGCUCAAAGUAAACCCACACUCAAAAUAUUACUCAUAUUAAUAAUAUCAUGCAUAAUGGAUCAAGAUUUCCAUAUCCCACAUUGAAAACAUGACCCAAGAGCAAAAACAUAAAGCACCGAAAGAUUCUUCGCUUUGAACAUCAGUCAAUAAAAACAAUUAUAUGUUGGAUCGGCUGAUGAAUUGUUGGAUUUAGAAUUUCCAUAGGUUGUGGGUAUUACUUACUAGUCUUAGGUAUGUGAUCUUCUCGGGCCAAAAUGACAUGGUCGGAUUGAAUUGUCUCUUUUUACUCCAAUUUAAACAAAUCAUAUUUAAUCCGUUAAACUUUAAAAAUCAAAACCUCGUAAUCUCAACAAAAUUACAUUUAUAAUUAAGUUCAAAGUACAACAUUUAUAAAAAUUACUAAGUCAAGAAAAUAUAAAUAAAAACGAUUAAUUAAAACAAUAAUUUGCUAAAUUAUAUAUGCAAAAUCAUAUGCUUUGAUAAUACAGUUUCACGAUCACAUUUAACAGUAUAGUUAUACAAUACACACAUAGAAAAAGGAGGCCGCGAGAAGGUAUGGAGUCGAGCGCAUUUGCAUUUUUAUUUACAAAGAAAUCUAGUAUUUUUUUAUCGUUAUCUUAUUGACCGAAUGUGAUGUGUUAAAUCAUAAUAUAAUCACCGAUGGUCUGAUAUGUAAUUAUCACAUUGAGCUAACUUCGUUAUAGAGAAAAAUUUGAUCCUAAAUAUUUCAUUGAGGGCCUGGCCCCGUAGGGUUGCUGGAGACAACUCCGAAUGACAUAUACAACUUUACUUGCUAUGUCCCCUAAGCCAUAAAUCGUUAAUGUAUUUAACUUGAUAUGUAAAUUAUAUAAAUUAUUCGAUCGUUUACCAUAUACAUAAAAAUAACGCGCCACAUUGAAAUACUUGAAAUCGUAUAUUAAAUGACAUAACUCAUAUUCUAGCCUAUAAAUCAACUCGGUAGGAUGGAAGUUUACCUAACAAAUAAUAAAAUGGAAAAUCCUAAGAGAUGUCUUGAUCUUGUUUGGGUUCUCCUUAUGAUUUCAAUUAUGACGCCACCCCAACCUUUCUUUUAUUCACAGGCGGAGCCAUUUCCUAAAUACACCGUGCACAUCGUAGAUAUCGGUCUUGAAAACCUCAUGGUUGGCUGUGGACGGGCGUAUCAAUGGCCUUUUUUUAAAACGAUUAACAAUGGUAGCGAGUACCUUAUCGAGUUUAAUAAUGAUGAUGUUUACACUUGUGCUUUCAACUGGAAAAAUAAACAUACGAAAUUCGAAGUUUUUAAUCAAACAAUCAAUAAGCUUUGCAUCGGAGGGGUUAGUAAGGAUUGCUUUUGGCGAGCAACACUCACCGAGUUUGAUUUUUUGGAAGAAACUUGGGAAACGAUGUACACUUGGUAAAAAUUAUUCUUUUGGUAUUUAAUUUUAUAUUAUUUAUUGUAAUGAUAAAAAUAAAAUUAUCUAAGAAGUCCAUAUAUACAUAAUUACAACUACGAUCUUUUUCAUCGCCAUUCUUUUGAAUAUCUCUUUUGUUAAUUAUCGGCUUGUCAAAACAAUGAAAAUGGAAGUUACAAAAUAUUUUCGUUUGUAUGAACCAAAUAACUUGGCAUAUUAGUGAUUGAAUCUCAUUGCUAUUUCAGCGACGAUGUAGUUUUUUUCACUCUUUAGUAUCUUAAUGUUAAACUGAUUACAUUCAACAAAAUGCAUUUUCCGAAAACAAUAUGAAAUGAAUUGGAGGGUCAUAAUAUUUGCAAAUAUGUGCUAACCGGUUUAUAUACAAAGUUUUGAUUUUUGAUCUUUUUAUGCAUGAAAUUACUCUGACACAUAUUUUAGUUCCCUUUAUGGACGAGACUUCACUUUUUCUGUUAAAUAUUUAAUGUAUUGCGAGGUUAUUACCAUGAUUUUAAAGAAGAUACAACAUAAAAACACAAUUCUUUUUAAGAGAAGUAGUUCCAUAAACUUUGAACAUGGAUCAUGAUUGGUUUAAAUCUCUCAAGCUUAUAGCAUGAUGUAACUGAUUCAACAAAAGAAAGUGAUAUUUAAUAAUAAUCAAAUACAAACAAAAGAUAAAUAAUUUAAUAAGCCUACCCGACUUGUUCAANUUCUUUUUAGGAGAAGUAAUUUCAUAAACUUUGAACAUGGAUCAUGAUUGGUUUAAAUCUCUCAAGCUUAUAGCAUGAUGUACCGACUUAAUCAAAUUCAACAAAAGAAAGUGAUAUUUAAUAAUAAUCAAAUACAAACAAAAGAUAAAUAAUUUAAUAAGCCUACCCGACUUGUUCAAAUUAUUAUGUCAUAUAGUUAACUACAAACAACGAUAGUUUCACAAUAAUUUCAAAUUUUCUAAAAACAAAACACAUGAUUUCAAACAAACUUCUAAUGCAUCAUCUUUAUCAAAAGGCACUUUCACAGUUUCUCAAAUCGAAAUUCAUUAUUUUCAUUAUUCUCCUUUUUUCACCUUUUACGAUCGAAAAAUUUUCAAUCGAGAACUUGAGGUGAGAGAUCUUAUUAUUUUUUGAGUUCCGCUUUCUAAAACAUAUGCAAAUACAUAACAUAUGCAAAUACAUAACAUAACAUAUGCAACAGUCACGCAGUAAAUAUGCAAGUACAUAACAUAUGCAAGAGUCACGCAGACAUCUAGCAUCUAAAACAUAACAAACCAUGGGCUGGAAUUGGUGCCUUCGACCCGCUAACACAGUGAGGAAACUCACCUAUAGCUGCUGAAACACUCAAAUGAAUCUCUGUGUGCUGGUCCGGAAAAUUAUCCCGCUAUCAUAUGACAUGUAUGUGUAUUUUUGGGAAAACUUGAGUUCGGUCAAUUGCAUGCAUCACACCCUAGUCUUUUAUUAGAAACCCUUUUUAUAAAACAUUUAUUUUUUAAAAACUCUACCAACCCUCAGUUUGAGUUCAGACACACUCGAGAGUAUGUCCGAAUCCAUCAAACCAAGGCUCUGAUACCAACUUGAAAAGUCCCAAAAAUUAAGACUAAAAAUUUCGUUUUUAAAUUAAUAAAAUAUUAUCCAAAACAUCAUCAUAAAUAAAUCAUUAUGGAACAAGUGUAUCAACAACAUCACAAAACAUUAGAGUAACAUAAAAUGCGGAACGAGGUGGUGUGUACACUUCAAUCAUCCCGGACUCUUCCCCUUUGAACCAGAAGUACCUGAAAACAAAAUUGAAAACCGUAAGCACAAAGCUUAGUGAGUUCACCAGAAUACCACAUACCAUACAUAUCAAACACAUAAAUGGCCCCGAUCGUCAUCGGGCCCCGCUUGGUGUACAUAUCUAUCAACCAUCAAGCCCCGGGCAUCUCACCCUGCCCGACAUCGAGCCAUGCUUGGUAUAAAGAUAUGCUAGUCAUCGGGCCUCGCCCUAAGAGAUGUUGAAACGUCCAAAAAAUUAAGACUAAAAUAUUCGUUUUUAAAUUAAUGAAACUAUUAUCCAAAACUUCAUCAUAAAGAAAUCAUGGUGGAACAAAUGUAUCAAAAACAUCACAAAACAUCAAAGUAACAUAAAAUGCAGAACGAGGUGGUUGGUGCACUACAAUCAUCUCAGGAUCUUCCCCUUUGAACUAGAAGCACCUGAAAACAAAACUGAAUACCGUAAGCACAAAGCUUAGUGAGUUCCCCAGAAUACCACAUAUCAUACAUACCAAACAUAUAAUGGGCUCCGCUCGUCAUCGGGCCUUGCCCGACAUCGACCCUCACUCGGUAUACAAAUAUUUCAAUCAUUGGGGCCUGCUCGGUAUACAAAUCUAUCAGUCAUCGGGCCCAACCCGGUACACAUAUAAAAUAUAAGAAUAUAAACACAUAACACAUGCAAUAAUCAAAAAGAUAAAUAGCAUACAAAAUGGUCAUUGGGUCCCGCCCAGCAUCGGGCUCCGCCUAGUAAACAUGCAAACACAUAACAUAUGCAAGAGUCACACAGACAUCUAGCAUCCUAAACAUAACAAACCAUGGGCUGGAAUUGGUGCCUUCGACCGGCUGACAUAGUGAGGAAACUCACCUCUAGCUGCUGAAACACUCAAAUAAAUCUUUGUUUGCUGGUCUGGAAAAUCCUUGCGCUAUCAUAUAACAUGUAUGUGUAUUUUGGGAAAACUUACUUGAGCUCGGUCGAUUGCAUGCACCACACCCUUGUCUUUUGUUAGAAACCUUUAUUAUAAAACAUUUAUUUUUGAAAAAUUCUACCAAACCCUCAAUUUGAGUUCAGAGACACUCGAGAGUAUGUCCGAGCCCCUCAAACCAAGGCUCUUAUACUAACUUCAAAUGUCCCAAAAAUUAAGACAAAAAAUUUCGUUUUUAAAUUUAUAAAAUAUUAUCCAAAAAAUCAUCAUAAAGAAAUAAUUGUGGAACAAGUGUAUCAACAACAUCACAAAACAUUAAAGUAACAAAAAAUGCGGAACGAGGUG
rnacentral:lncRNA from 1 species